UACGGAGGGGGCGAGCGUUAUUCGGAAUUAUUGAGCAUAAAGAGCGCGUAGACGGCUAGACAAGUCAAAGGUGAAAUCCCUCGGCUCAACUGAGGAACUGCCUUUGAAACUGUCUGGCUUGAGGCCGGGAGAGGGUAGCGGAAUUCCCAGUGUAACGAUGAAAUGCGUAGAUAUUGGGAGGAACACCAAUGGCGAAAACAGCUACCUGGACCGAUACUGACGCUGAUGCGCGAAAGCGUGGAUAGCAAACAGG
rnacentral:rRNA from 1 species